rnacentral:misc_RNA from 1 species
GAUGAAGAACGUAGCGAAAUGCGAUAACUAAUGUGAAUUGCAGAAUUCAGUGAAUCAUCGAGUCUUUGAACGCACAUUGCGCCCCCUGGUAUUCCGGGGGGCAUGCCUGUCCGAGCGUCAUUGCUGCCCUCAAGCACGGCUUGUGUGUUGGGCUCCGUCCCCCCGGGGACGGGCCCGAAAGGCAGCGGCGGCACCGAGUCCGGUCCUCGAGCGUAUGGGGCUUUGUCACCCGCUCUGUAGGCCCGGCCGGCGCCAGCCGACAACCCAUCAUCCUUUUCAGGUUGACCUCGGAUCAGGUAGGGAUACCCGCUGAACUUAAGCAUAUCAAUAAGGGAGGA